UGCUCAUCUCAUCAGCAAGAGGCAGCUCUCUUGUGUAGUGAGCUCAGUGUGCAUCACUAACAUCCAGAGUAUUUGCAUUUGUUCUGUAAAUCUCACUGUUGAAGGCUGGGCAGAAAAUGGUAGACUAUGUGACAGCUAGCAAGUCUGAUUUAUUCCAUUUCUGCCAAAAUGCUGUGCAAAUGGGGAUCAGCCUGUCAGCCACUGCAGGAUAUAAACCAUUUACAGUCUACUCUUUUUCCUGCUAAUCACAAUGACGCGCAUUCACAAUCAAGCUGUGUACCAAGCUGUGUCAUCACACGCAUUCCCAGGCUGUGCACCAUAGAUUUCAACAGUGAACUUUUCAGCUUUCUAUUAUAUAAAUAUGUUACAGAAGAGAGAGUACCCUUGAGACCUGUGAACUGCUCAGCGAUUACUUCUUUUCAUUUUCAGACUUGUGUGUGUGCCUACAUCUGCUUUGCCCUCCGAUGCUGCAUCCACCACCAUGCUUUACUGCUUUCUUCUCCCUGGCAUUUUAUUAAGAAACUUUUCUGAGAGUACACUGGAUCUUCCCUUCCAAUUUGUUUAGCUGUCAUCACAUCACCAUGCCUGACUGCUCUGCUGAAUUCUUACAGAAUUCUGAGGUCAAAUAAUAACCAGGUUAGCUAAGGUUGAGACUGUUCAGAGGCUGAUUGGUCAAAUAUACAGUUAAUAGAUAUAGAAAAUAAAUGAAAAAGAAAAAGAAAAGAGAAAAUGAGAAGAAGACAUUAGAGAGAAAAGAAGAAAUAAAAGAAAAAAGAAAAUAUGUUUAGAGUACACUUUCUUUCAUCAGUUUCAGGAUCCUCCCCAGGAUUUUUCCUAAUCAUUUUUUUAUAAAAAAGAAAACGUUUUCUCAGAUACUUCCACCAAAAGUAGCAGCAGCAGCUUGCAUUUUCAACUUGAAGUACUAACACUGU